UUUUCAUUUUAAAAAAAUUGAAUGAAUUUCGCUCUAAAUCAUCCAAAAAUUUAAUAUUUGGCUGGCGUACACGCACGAACGCAAAUGCACGAGGGUCAGUGUAUUGUGUUCUUCAAAUGACGUGAUUUGCAUAAAAUAAAUAAUAUUACUUUCUAUAUGCAUUGAUUAUAACAAUUAAUAAUUUGAAUGAAAUUUAUAUUUAUUUAGAAUGAAAAACCAAUCAAAUCUAAUACUAUUUUUUGAAUCAAUAGCAUAAGUAUUUGAAAAAAAGGAAACUACAUUCAGAUCUAUGACUGAUUCCAUCAGUACGGAAAACAUUAAAACGAGUCAGUCUUGAAGAAGCCGCUGAGUUGAAAAGUUGUCACACAAAUUAUUUCCAAUCUAUUUGAAAAUGAAAAAAAAACUAAAAAAUGGUUACAGUGGAUAAGUAAACUUAUAAAGUUGCAAAAAUCAUCAAGUGAUCGACAAAGAAAUUUGAUAAAGUGUUGGAAAUCGUUAGAUUGGUUCAAUCGAUCAUCCUGAUUGCAAGUCAUUGUUGAUUGGAAACGUCCGUGAGCAGAAGCUGGAAAAUUAUCACCAUAUCUGUUUUAUCGAACUACUUUUCUUCAAAAAUUCCAUCUAGGAGAGACCUAAAUAGUAUCAAGGUAAGAAAAUUGAUUUUUUUUGUAAUGCAAUAAGAAUUACAUAAUUUGUGAAAGUUAGCAUUGAUCUUUACAAAGAAAUAUUGGACCUCGCAUAAUUUUUUUAUUAUAAAAAUGUUAAUUAUAUCAACUUAUUUAUGUUGAAUAUGUAUUUUCAAUUAUCGCUUUGGAAAAUAUCAUACUGGAAAAGUUUUUAAUUUCAUUUUUAUUUUUAUUCUUUCUUUUAUCAAUCGUGGUAACCGUUGAACCGUUCACUGGGAAAAGGACAAUCAUUGUCUUUUCCAUGGAAUUGGAAAAGUGAUUCGCAGAUAGCAGCAGAACUCAGAGCAAACAGUAAAGGACGUAAAUCUGCAAAACACAACUUAGAAAAGUGAGCGCUGUAAUAAAAGUAGACGAGGAGCACUACCACUGAUCAAAUUUCAUUAUGUCAUCGUUUAUCUUUACGGGGCAAAAGACAAUCAGUCUUUUGAAGUAUCUUAUUUCUUCUGAAACUGGUAAACACUAUUGGGAGAAAGCAGAAGAGCAUACAUCCAAAAGCUGAGAAGAAGACUUCACGAAACUACUAGAAAGUCGUGCAACACCCCAUAGAAAUUAAUGUAAUACAAUUUUAUUGUGAAUACACAUUAUUUAUGUCAAAUAAAUUUAUUUUUGAAAUCAUAGCAAGAGUUUUUUAAAUAUACCCUGGUACUGUUAUAUCUACCCGAGGAUAUUAUUUGAAUUAAUGUGGACGAAUAUCAAAGCAAACAUAUUUGCCAUUGAAUCUAUGGUAAAGAACAUUUAAAUAUACCAAGGAAAUUUUUAAUUUUACCCAUUGUGUAUUUAAAUUAAUGGUAACUCGUAGUUAAAACAAAUAUUUCUACUAUUGAAACUAUGGUAGUGUUACCCAGAAAUUUUUGAUUCUACCCAUGAAAGUGUUUAAAAUCCACUUUAGAAAUAAAGUGCAAAUGUAUUUGAUUUAAAAGACAUGUUUUCUUUUCAAAUACAGUGCCAUUCAAAAUAAAUACAAAUAUAUUUGUUGUGGCUAUGAUUACUGCCUUUCAGAUCAAAUGUAAAAAUAUUUGAAGUAAAAGUCGUCUGUAUUCAAAUCAAAUAAAACAUUAGAAACAAAUGUAUUCUACCAUUGGGGCCAAAAUACCCAUAAUUUCAUUUGAUUUUACCCAGAAAAACAUUAAUACUACCCAUAAAA